UAAGGAAUAUUGGUCAAUGGACGCAAGUCUGAACCAGCCAUGCCGCGUGAAGGAUGCAGGUCCUCUGGAUUGUAAACUUCUUUUAUCUGGGACGAAAACGGGAUUUUUAUCUCAAUUGACGGUACCAGAGGAAUAAGCACCGGCUAACUCCGUGCCAGCAGCCGCGGUAAUACGGAGGGUGCGAGCGUUAUCCGGAUUCACUGGGUUUAAAGGGUGCGUAGGCGGAUAUGUAAGUCAGUGGUGAAAUCAACGGGCUCAACCUGUUAACUGCCAUUGAUACUGUGUAUCUUGAAUAUGAGAGAGGUAGGCGGAAUGUUGCAUGUAGCGGUGAAAUGCUUAGAUAUGCUACGGAACACCGAUUGCGAAGGCAGCUUACUAUUUCGUAAUUGACGCUGAGGCACGAAAGCGUGGGUAGCGAACA
rnacentral:rRNA from 1 species